UAGCCAGAGAUGAGUUAUUAAACCAACAAGUAAAUAGAUGAAUGUGAAGCCUGCCUCAGCUUUUAUUAUACUUCCAUUUCCCCCACGUUUUAAAUGAUGCGUUUGAACAAGGUCUCUCAAAAAGGAUCGUUUCUUGCCGCACGUGACCAAAAUCUUCCCGCUCCCUCCUGACUGCUGUAUUUUCCCAUUAUCGUCCAAAGCACAUUAGAUACGUGGGUAUAGCCAUUUCCUUGAAGCACCGUUGCAGCCGCAGUCACGCCACACUUGCUGAGUCUGCGUGUGGGCAAGCGUGUUUAUGUUUAGGAGGUAUUUGAAAGGUUUCAAAAACGAUGUCCUCUUGGGAGCCAUAUUCAUCACAGUCGACCCCAUGGGCUUAAUCUUUUUCCUUAACUAUGAACUUUAGUACAGACCCGUUUCCUAGCACACAGCACUUUCUGAACAGCGAGACUAAUUCAGCCCCAAAGCAAUUUUCUUUCCAGCAGUAGAAGCAGCAGCAGGUUGUUGUCAGGUGAAAGUGGCUUUAAUUUUCGCUUUUAUUGUCCUGGAGGUGCCAAGAUGCCUGUAGGAUGGAUGGCACAUUGAAAGUGAGCAGAUAUGGAGCAUCUUCCAUCAAGAAUAGACACAGUUCGGUCAUGCUACUGUCGGCCAAUGAGAAAAAACAGCUAUCUGGAAUGCGUUCUGUAGAAGAGAAGUUUCAGGAUCAUUUUGGCAGGGGCAAGAUUUUGCUCGGAUCUGCUGUGCCUCUGCAAAACACUGCAUUCAUUAUCUCUUUCCAUUGAUUGAAAAUGCCCUUGGUUCAGGGUGAAAGCCGCAUGAAACUCCACUCAGUGAAGAGUGAUUUUCCUUUUCCCAGUUUCAAAGCUGCCAGGAAGGCCAAACUAACCAUGUUUAGUGGUCCAAAAGUUUUGCUGCUCAUGUGGACCCGGUGACCUGGGAGCACCCUUGCAGCCCCCUAUUUCUAGGAAAAGAGAGAUCAUUCCUCAUCCUGCUGGAGAAAGAAGGUUGUGCUGUCCCCUGGUCCUUUUACAUAUUGCCUUCCUCUCUCAGACCCAAAAGGAUUUUGUGCCCACAUAUCCCGUGGGGCAGUGGAAAAGGAAAGCAGCAGCUAUGCUGCUUGGAUGGGAGUAGGAAAUGGUCUAAUCGUUUCCAUCCUGGCGUUGGAUGAAGCUUUGGGCCCCACUUUGAACAAGCGGAUGGCCUGACACAGCAUUCAGCAAUAUUUUGCUGGCAUGCUUAGUGAAUUUAAGGAGACGAGCAAGCCUCUUCCAAUCUGCAGCCUUGAGAUUUGCCCAGCUGGACCCCCUGCCUCUAGGAUAAGCUGUUAAACCUGUUGAUCAAGGGCUGAAAAUAGAGGAGGGGUUCACUGCACUGAAGGGCGAUGCUUAAUUUUACCCAUUUGAGCCGGGAACAGGACACAGAGACAGGAACCAUUUGCAGGAACUAGCAGCAAGUGCCUCCCAGAUAUAUUAGUACCCAGGCUCUUGCUGCAGUGGUGAUUGCUGUGUCACAACCUCUGGAAGGAUUGCUUUGCUUUUGCAUCAAAUGGAGGAGGAGAAAAGCUGCAGUGGGGGAAAGGGGUCUUAUAUACAUGGCAAGUGCUGAGAGAGCAAGAGCACCAUGUCCCUGGGCUAAAUGCAGGGAGCUCAGUGAUCUCAGUCUGGUCCCCAGCAAAUGAAUGGUCGUGUCACAAAAUGUAGCCAGCACGGAUGUCACAAUUGCAGCAGAGUUGAUGGAUGGGCAUAAAGACAGAGUUAGUGUCUUGCUUCAAGACAGAGGCAUGUGGAGGGAAGUUUGCUGCUGCACCCGGUUCACCCUUUUUCUGAGUAGGAACCAUCAGUCACUAGAUCUGUCAGGCCAGCCAGCUUCACCGGUACAGAAUUCACACCAAGCACAUUUGUCUUGAACACCCGGGUGUAAAAACAAGGAGAGCUCCAGGCAGGGAAGCGGUUGCCCAGGCCGUCCAUCCGUGUCAAACCUCCCCAGCGCCAGCACCCUCUGUUCCCACCACACACAGUUUAGACCCCCUUAGGGCCAAACCUGCCUUCCUCUCUCAUGUCAUUGAGGCAGCAGGAUUCAUUGCAGUUACACAUGCAGCUAAAAGGAGAAGGAUUUGGACUCAGGCUUUCAAUGUUUAUAUUGAAACCUUUAUUGGAGAUAAAUACGUGGAGAGCUGGCAGCAGCCGCUUGAUUUGAGUAGUUCUGUCCUGGUUUAUAUCGUCUCUAUAAGCCCAGUGAAUCCCAAACCAAGAAGAAAUCUUCAUGAUCUAGACACGGCGGGACUGUGACUCAGUGGUCAGGGAGCAGAGAUACAGAACCUCUGCCACUGGGCUGCUGUGUGACCUUGGUCGGGUCACUUAACUGCUUCGUGCUGCUCUUUCCCCAGCGGUAAAAAGAGGACAGUGCUGCAAGGCAGCUUCCUGGAAGGUUUGGGGCCCUCCCUCUCUAAAGAGCU